rnacentral:rRNA from 1 species
UACGAAGGGGGCUAGCGUUGUUCGGAAUUACUGGGCGUAAAGCGCGCGCAGGCGGCUAUCCAAGUCAGUGGUGAAAGCCCGGAGCUCAACUCCGGAACUGCCAUUGAAACUGUUUAGCUUGAGGAUGAGAGAGGUGAGUGGAAUUCCCAGUGUAGAGGUGAAAUUCGUAGAUAUUGGGAAGAACACCAGUGGCGAAGGCGGCUAUCUGGACCGGAACUGACGCUGAGGCGCGAAAGCGUGGGGAGCAAACAGG